rnacentral:lncRNA from 1 species
GUAUAGGAUCCCUUUUUGCAUUAGCCACUCUUAUAGCUACAGGAGUUGGUGUAUCUAAAUAUUACAAUCCUAAAAAGAGACCUAGUAGAAUGAACUUUAACUUUUUUAAAAAAUUAGGUAGUGGAUCCAGAUCUGGUUUAUAUAAAAGUAAAUAUUUAGGUUACGCAAAAACUCAAGCUGAUGGAAAAGGUGGUAUAAGUGGAAGUAAAUAUAAACCUAUACCAUCCAAUGGAGAAAGUAAAUCUAAUGGCGCUGGUAGUAAACCAUGUAUGGGUGUUAAUAGUCAGCAAAGCGGUCUGGGAGGUUUAAAAAAUACAGGAGCCAGGGAGGGUAUGACCGGUGUUAAGGGCGUAGGAGCUGGUGAACAUAGAAUAGCACAAGGUAAACCUAUAACAAAUGUUGUUAUAACGGGUCACACUGUUCAAGCUUCAAUCCCAGGAGGAAGAAGAGAAGGACAUAUGGGUGAAAAAAAAAAAAAAAAAAAAAAAAAAAAAAAAAUUGAUGUAUAUAUAUAUAUAUAUAUAUAUAUAUAUAUAUAUAUAUACAUAAUUGAUCUACACAUACAUGUACUUACGUUUAUGUUUACUUACAUAUGAACUCAUGAUUAAAUUAAUGGUACAGAUUUCAUAAUGUUACAUGACACUUUCUUUUAUGUUUAUAUA